rnacentral:lncRNA from 1 species
AGGAAAAAGUGUAGAUCUCCUUCUCCUCUACGCAAGGACCUCGAUUUCCAAAAAGAAAAAGGUAAAUAUCCAUCUCUAUCUAGUCUUUUGAUGACAUUAGGCUAUACAAAGGGUGGAUGUAGUCUAGAGGGGUCGGAUAAGGGUUGUAGAGGUGGUUAAAAGAAGAAGAAUCGGAUUUUGACAAAUUUUUUCGGCACUACGGAAAAACUGUG